AUGUAAGUAAGACAACAUCUUGCCCAUGCUUUGCAUCAUUGAAGGCCGUAAUUUUUGGCUGCUCUAUGUGAGUUUCUUCCCUGACCCACGUCAAGGAGUUAUGCUGUGUUGGUAGAGACAGUGUACCUCGGGUCAACCAAAACAUAAAAAAAAGGGACCCUGCCUGCAGAUGCCCAAAGGCCUCAGGACCUCACACCCAUUUCUGAAUGGAUGGUUGGUUUUCCAUUUAAAAUGCUGGCCUCUUUCAACAUGAAAGAUUUAAACCUGCAAACUCUGCAAAAGACAACAGUUUGAGAAGUUGGGGUUGCUGGGGGCAAUCCAAUUUACCAAGGAAACCAGCUGAGCCAUGGAACAACAUGGAGUGGGGUGGCCCACAGCCACAAUGCUAUCUGCAGAAGGGCAUGCUCUCUGUUUCUUUAAGCAGAAACUGGAACAUUAUUCCUUUACCACUGCAAAAAGAGCAAUUCGUUCUUUGCUGGAAGAUCCACUUAUGUAAACAAGACCUCUGUUUUCUGCCUCUGCCACAAAGAAAAGUGUAGUCCCUCUAGAUGGGUAGGAGCCAGAAAGCAGAGGUCAUUGUCUUUUACUUCUCCUUGGUGUCUCUUACUUCCCAAAGCAUUCUAGUUCUUUUUCACUUAAGAACUGUAUGUCAACUGGGCAGUUCCCUAGGGAACUGAGAUUCAGCUAACAGAUCAGCUCUCAAUGCUGAUAGAAGAUGCCAUUCCCAGUUAGAUGCUGAAAUAAACGAAAGCAGAA